rnacentral:misc_RNA from 1 species
GAAAUGCGAUAAGUAAUGUGAAUUGCAGAAUUCAGUGAAUCAUCGAAUCUUUGAACGCACAUUGCGCCCGCCAGUAUUCUGGCGGGCAUGCCUGUUCGAGCGUCAUUACAACCCUCAGGCCCCCGGGCCUGGCGUUGGGGAUCGGCGGAAGCCCCCUGCGGGCACAACGCCGUCCCCCAAAUACAGUGGCGGUCCCGCCGCAGCUUCCAUUGCGUAGUAGCUAACACCUCGCAACUGGAGAGCGGCGCGGCCACGCCGUAAAACACCCAACUUCUGAAUGUUGACCUCGAAUCAGGUAGGAAUACCCGCUGAACUUAAAC